GACGAAAGCUGGCGGCAGGCCUAACACAUGCAAGUCGAGCGGAGCGGCGGACGGGUGCGUAAUGCCUAGGAAUCUGCCUGGUAGUGGGGGAUAACGUUAGGAAAAGGGCGCGAAUACCGCAUACUAUCAGAUGAGCCUAGGUCGGAUUAGCUAGUUGGUGGGGUAAAGGCCUACCAAGGCGACGAUCCGUAACUGGUCUGAGAGGAGGAUCAGUAACACUGGAACUGAGACACGGUCCAGACUCCUACGGGAGGCAGCAGUGGGGAAUAUUGGACAAUGGGCGAAAGCCUGAUCCAGCCAUGCCGCGUGUGUGAAGAAGGUCUUCGGAUUGUAAAGCACUUUAAGUUGGGAGGCGUUACCAACAGAAUAAGCACCGGCUAACUUCGUGCCAGCCGCCGCGGUAAUAC
rnacentral:rRNA from 1 species